rnacentral:tRNA from 1 species
CGGGGUAUAGCACAAUUGGAUAGUGCAAGAGAAUUCUAAUCUCUAGGUUGGGGGUUCAAGUCCCUCUACCUCGG